rnacentral:rRNA from 1 species
UACGUAGGGUGCAAGCGUUAAUCGGAAUUACUGGGCGUAAAGCGUGCGCAGGCGGCUAUGCAAGACAGAUGUGAAAUCCCCGGGCUCAACCUGGGAACUGCAUUUGUGACUGCAUGGCUAGAGUACGGUAGAGGGGGAUGGAAUUCCGCGUGUAGCAGUGAAAUGCGUAGAUAUGCGGAGGAACACCGAUGGCGAAGGCAAUCCCCCUGGACCUGUACUGACGCUCAUGCACGAAAGCGUGGGGGAGCAAACAGG